GAUGAAGAACGUAGCGAAAUGCGAUACGUAAUGUGAAUUGCAGAAUUCAGUGAAUCAUCGAAUCUUUGAACGCACAUUGCGCCCCCUGGUAUUCCGGGGGGCAUGCCUGUUCGAGCGUCAUUUCACCACUCAAGCCUCGCUUGGUAUUGGGCAACGCGGUCCGCCGCGUGCCUCAAAUCGACCGGCUGGGUCUUCUGUCCCCUAAGCGUUGUGGAAACUAUUCGCUAAAGGGUGUUCGGGAGGCUACGCCGUAAAACAACCCCAUUUCUAAGGUUGACCUCGGAUCAGGUAGGGAUACCCGCUGAACUUAAGCAUAUCAAUAAGCGGCGGA
rnacentral:misc_RNA from 1 species